rnacentral:rRNA from 1 species
UUACAAAGUUACCCCUGAGGGAAAGUUGAAAAGAACUUUGAAGAGAGAGUGAAACAGUGCGUGAAACCGCUCAGAGGCAAGCAGAUGGGGCCUCGAAGGCAGAGCAGCGAAUUCAGUUGGUAGUCCGUGAGGCUGGCGGGAUGUGAGAUUGCAAAACUCUGCCUGUUAGCAUGUAGCGGCUGCCGAUGCACUUUCGCUGCUUGUACGCCUCCGCCGUUGACAUGCAUCCGUCGAGCCUGCAGUGUGGAGCCUGACUCUGUCAAAGGAGUCGGUGUCUCAUCGCGGGUGAGGCGCGCUUGCAAGUCAACCGGUCAAGUCGGCAUGUGCCAGCGUAAGCGUUGGGUUGAGUGCUCUGUUGUGUAUUGUGGAAGACGAACGCAAGUUCGGCUCUGCUGUGCAUGAUGGAAUCGCGGAGACUUUCAACGUGGCACAUUGUAGAUUCGGAGGUGAGUAGACGGCUGCCCAUCUAACCCGUCUUGAAACACGGACCAAGGAGUUCAACAUGCGCGCUAGUUGUUGGGUUAUCCGAAACCCGCAAGCAAAGUGAAAGCAAGUCACGACUCUGUCGUGUAUUUGGCGAGAUCCCGUCACUCGGCCGGUGUAAAAGCCGUCGAGCCGGGCGCACCGCCGGCCCAUCACAAGCUCACGUGGCUGUGGUGGAGCUUGAGCGUGCACGUUGAGACCCGAAAGAUGGUGAACUAUGCCUGGACAGGGCGAAGCCAGGGGAAACUCUGGUGGAGGCCCGUAGCGAUUCUGACGUGCAAAUCGAUCGUCUGAUCUGGGUAUAGGGGCGAAAGACUAAUCGAACCAUCUAGUAGCUGGUUC